rnacentral:rRNA from 2 species
GUCGAGCGGACAGAUGGGAGCUUGCUCCCUGAUGUUAGCGGCGGACGGGUGAGUAACACGUGGGUAACCUGCCUGUAAGACUGGGAUAACUCCGGGAAACCGGGGCUAAUACCGGAUGGUUGUUUGAACCGCAUGGUUCAAACAUAAAAGGUGGCUUCGGCUACCACUUACAGAUGGACCCGCGGCGCAUUAGCUAGUUGGUGAGGUAACGGCUCACCAAGGCAACGAUGCGUAGCCGACCUGAGAGGGUGAUCGGCCACACUGGGACUGAGACACGGCCCAGACUCCUACGGGAGGCAGCAGUAGGGAAUCUUCCGCAAUGGACGAAAGUCUGACGGAGCAACGCCGCGUGAGUGAUGAAGGUUUUCGGAUCGUAAAGCUCUGUUGUUAGGGAAGAACAAGUACCGUUCGAAUAGGGCGGUACCUUGACGGUACCUAACCAGAAAGCCACGGCUAACUACGUGCCAGCAGCCGCGGUAAUACGUAGGUGGCAAGCGUUGUCCGGAAUUAUUGGGCGUAAAGGGCUCGCAGGCGGUUUCUUAAGUCUGAUGUGAAAGCCCCCGGCUCAACCGGGGAGGGUCAUUGGAAACUGGGGAACUUGAGUGCAGAAGAGGAGAGUGGAAUUCCACGUGUAGCGGUGAAAUGCGUAGAGAUGUGGAGGAACACCAGUGGCGAAGGCGACUCUCUGGUCUGUAACUGACGCUGAGGAGCGAAAGCGUGGGGAGCGAACAGGAUUAGAUACCCUGGUAGUCCACGCCGUAAACGAUGAGUGCUAAGUGUUAAGGGGGUUUCCGCCCNCUUAGUGCUGCAGCUAACGCAUUAAGCACUCCGCCUGGGGGAGUACGGGUCGCAAGACUGAAACUCCAAAGGAAUUGACGGGG